rnacentral:rRNA from 1 species
AGGGUUUGAUUCUGGCUCAGAUUGAACGCUGGCGGCAGGCCUAACACAUGCAAGUCGAGCGGUAGAGAGGUGCUUGCACCUCUUGAGAGCGGCGGACGGGUGAGUAAUGCCUAGGAAUCUGCCUGGUAGUGGGGGAUAACGCUCGGAAACGGACGCUAAUACCGCAUACGUCCUACGGGAGAAAGCAGGGGACCUUCGGGCCUUGCGCUAUCAGAUGAGCCUAGGUCGGAUUAGCUAGUUGGUGGGUAAUGGCUCACCAAGGCGACGAUCCGUAACUGGUCUGAGAGGAUGAUCAGUCACACUGGAACUGAGACACGGUCCAGACUCCUACGGGAGGCAGCAGUGGGGAAUAUUGGACAAUGGGCGAAAGCCUGAUCCAGCCAUGCCGCGUGUGUGAAGAAGGUCUUCGGAUUGUAAAGCACUUUAAGUUGGGAGGAAGGGCAUUAACCUAAUACGUUAGUGUUUUGACGUUACCGACAGAAUAAGCACCGGCUAACUCUGUGCCAGCAGCCGCGGUAAUACAGAGGGUGCAAGCGUUAAUCGGAAUUACUGGGCGUAAAGCGCGCGUAGGUGGUUCGUUAAGUUGGAUGUGAAAUCCCCGGGCUCAACCUGGGAACUGCAUUCAAAACUGUCGAGCUAGAGUAUGGUAGAGGGUGGUGGAAUUUCCUGUGUAGCGGUGAAAUGCGUAGAUAUAGGAAGGAACACCAGUGGCGAAGGCGACCACCUGGACUGAUACUGACACUGAGGUGCGAAAGCGUGGGGAGCAAACAGGAUUAGAUACCCUGGUAGUCCACGCCGUAAACGAUGUCAACUAGCCGUUGGGAGCCUUGAGCUCUUAGUGGCGCAGCUAACGCAUUAAGUUGACCGCCUGGGGAGUACGGCCGCAAGGUUAAAACUCAAAUGAAUUGACGGGGGCCCGCACAAGCGGUGGAGCAUGUGGUUUAAUUCGA